UCUUACGUAAAGUUUCCAUAAAUAUUUGUCUCUCUCCUUUGCCUAGAUUGCUAAUAUAGUAGUGAUUGCCACGAUAAGUAGUGCGUGUAGAGAAUAGUGCGUGCGAAGUAAAACAAGAAUCAGCCAGACGGCAUUCGUUUCUUUUAUCUAUUCUGCGCAGCUACGACGAAAGAGAGGAAGGAAGGAAGCAAGCACCGGACGCGGGCCAAAGUCCACCAACGGACGAAAAUUCAAACUCCGGCAACCGUUACACCGCCGGAAAAGUUCGGUCCGUCAACUGACCGUUAGUAGCAGCCAGCGAACGUCGGCCAGAAUCGGUGUGGUAGAUCACCGGUUACGUGAGUACCCGGAAUCGUCAUCACCGCCAUCACCAAUAAAACGACGAUCGACCCAGCAUCCACCACCAACAGUAAGCAGCAGACGCAGAAACCACUGGUGAGUCCGUAUCGUUCUUGCUAAAUAGUGGGGCGGCGUCCACUGAAGACGCCCCCGUGAUUCAGAACCGUUUAAGUGCACUAUAAUUAAAAAUCCCGUUUAAAAACGGAAGUAGGGACGCGUCCAUAAAUUGAGGGUUGUGUGUCGGCCAUCAUGCUUUUGUGACACCAUUUUUGAACGCCACACACAACCCAUUGUAUUAGUCACCCGGGUGCGAAGCACAUCUCAUUGCUGGAGCCGUGGAGUGACGUCAUCGUCUGAGAAAGUGGGAGAGGAAAGCACAAAUGGUCAAUGAGCACAAGUAGGGAGAGAAAUCACGCACGCACAUAGGAGCUAGGCUAGAUAGGAAAUUAGAAAAGCUAAUAUAGACAUGCAAUAUAAAGUCAAACCGUUUUUCCGUUAAUAAAUGAUUAUUUAUUUCAAUGCCUAAA